rnacentral:rRNA from 14 species
AAAGAGAAUUUGGGUUCCUAAGAUGAGAUUAAUGAGAACAGAAAUCUCAUGUGGAACAAAAGGGUAAAAGCUCAUUUGAUUUUGAUUUGCAGUACGAAUAAACACG